AUUGAACGCUGGCGGCAGGCCUAACACAUGCAAGUCGAACGAGUGGCGGACGGGUGAGUAAUGUCUGGGAAACUGCCCGAUGGAGGGGGAUAACUACUGGAAACGGUAGCUAAUACCGCAUACCAUCGGAUGUGCCCAGAUGGGAUUAGCUAGUAGGUGGGGUAACGGCCCACCUAGGCGACGAUCCCUAGCUGGUCUGAGAGGAUGACCAGCCACACUGGAACUGGUACCCGGUCCAGACUCUUACGGUAGGCAGCAGUGGGGAAUAUUGCACAAUGGGCGCAAGCCUGAUGCAGCCAUGCCGCGUGUAGGAAGAAGGCCUUCGGGUUGUAAAGUACUUUCAGCGAGGAGGCGUUACUCGCAGAAGAAGCACCGGCUAACUCCGUGCCAGCAGCCGCGGUAAUUC
rnacentral:rRNA from 1 species